rnacentral:rRNA from 1 species
GGGGAGGCCUACCAUGCAAGUCGAACGGUAGCACAGAGAAGAGCUUGCUCUCUGGGUGGCGAGUGGCGGACGGGUGAGGAAUGCCUCGGAAUCUACUUUUUCGUGGGGGAUAACGUAUGGAAACUUACGCUAAUACCGCAUACCACCUACGGAUGAAAGCAGGGGACCUUCGGGCCUUGCGCCAUUGAAUGAGCCGAUGUCGGAUUAGCUAGUUGGCGGGGUAAAGGCCCACCAAGGCGACGAUCCGUAGCUGGUCUGAGAGGAUGAUCAGCCACACUGGAACUGAGACACGGUCCAGACUCCUACGGGAGGCAGCAGUGGGGAAUAUUGGACAAUGGGCGCAAGCCUGAUCCAGCCAUACCGCGUGGGUGAAGAAGGCCUUCGGGUUGUAAAGCCCUUUUGUUGGGAAAGAAAUCAAUCUGGCUAAUACCCUGUUGCGAUGACGUUACCCACAGAAUAAGCACCGGCUAACUUCGUGCCAGCAGCCGCGGUAAUACGAAGGGUGCAAGCGUUACUCGGAAUUACUGGGCGUAAAGCGUGCGUAGGUGGUCGUUUAAGUCCGAUGUGAAAGCCCUGGGCUCAACCUGGGAACUGCACUGGAUACUGGCCGACUAGAGUGUGGUAAAGGGUAGCGAAAUUCCUGGUGUAGCAGUGAAAUGCGUAGAGAUCAGGAGGAACAUCCAUGGCGAAGGCAGCUCCCUGGACCAACACUGACGCUGAGGCACGAAAGCGUGGGGAGCAAACAGGAUUAAAUACCCUGGUAGUCCACGCCCUAAACGAUGCGAACUGGAGGUUGGGUGCAUUUGGCACGCCUU